rnacentral:lncRNA from 1 species
UUAGACAAAGACGGAGGAACACAAGACCUAAAAGCUCACGUGACCUACAACCUCUUCAUCAACCAAAAACACACGAGAAACCCUACCUGUCCCUUACCACCAUAACCCCGCCGGCCAGCCGCCACCAGGCCACCCUAGCUACUGGCCCUCCAUCUUCAGCAACCUAUCUCCACGACCCAGCAAUGCCCAAACUUCUGGCGCCGUUCACAUCCAAACGACCACUCUUUGCUCUCAGUCCCAGCAGCUAACUCCCGCCUCUGUCUCUCUCAUUUCUGUCUCACCCCCAUCGCUGGCAAACGAGAAGGCAGUGGCCGCUCAGAAACAUCACCCCAUUUUCAAGUGCCUCCGAAUCUCCUCAUUAAUUAUCAGCAUAAGACUAGCCGUAUUUCUACUAAAAAUUCUUUGAAUAUGUAACAAAAGCUUGAUUCCAG